CACCCCCACCCCACCCCCCACGCUGGGCUCGCGGCGGGAAGUUGGGACGCGCGGGGAUCGCGCACCUCGUGGCUGUCCCCGGCUGCGCAGCUCCGGGAGGAGGAAACCCACACGCCUCGGACGUCCCUUUCGCACAACUUUCGGAGAACCGGGAAGUCCUCUCGCUCAGAGGGGGAAAAUGAUCGAAGACAUCAACUUGGUUCCACCAGAACAAGUCCCUUCACAUCAUACUUACGGAUCAAGACACUUCUCAUUUAUUUGUGCACAACCGAAAGUGAUCUCGUCUGUUUAGAAGAGGCCUUGAUCUCAAGAAUUAUUUCACUGAGCAAAUGUUACCAAAAAUCACGAGAAACGAUGACAUAGGUUAACGUGAUCCUACAGCAGAUAAUCCUCUACUAUGAGAUUCAGUGCCAGAGGUGUCCCAAGAACAUAAAAGCUAUCAGGCCAGAUGGAGAAUCAGGGCUAAUCUCGCUUGCCAUUCAGUUUCCCACAAAAGCGGAUCGCUGAUUGAGGUACCUCUGGUACAAAUUACCCUUUCACAAAAGGAACAGGGUGACAGCAGUCUAUUACUCUGAGUACUGGCAAUCUGUGUUUGGAAAAAUGGGAAUGCAAGCCAAAAAUAACUCAAGAACUAAUUCAUAUUUCUACCAUGGCUUUUCAGAACACGGAGUCAGGCCAGUUGUCUACUUUCAGCAAGACUGGAAGCUCCAAUUACGGAAUUUAGUUCUAAAUCUCUUCUUCCCGUCAGGUACCUGAAUGACUGGCCAGAAGCCUGUUCUCAGAUGGCUGUAAAAAAAUUUGGGAAAGAGUCAGAAGUGUGAAGUGCUGAACAACUCCUCCAUGAGAAAACUCUCCCCAAGGAAAUUCAGCCCUUAUAUAGAACUGGCCUGGGGUACAGGCUGUUCAGUUCUUCAAUUUACAUUCUGGAGUCUGCCCAAAUAAUAGGAAGCAUUAAGUUUAUUUAUCCCAUUUUUAAAGUAUCCAGUUUAUAAAAAUGUUGCUCAUGGAUGACCAGGAUCUUGGGAACUGAAGACACUCAUCUCGGUCUCCUUUUUCCCGUUACCUAAGACUUGAAGUGAAAUGAGCAUAUAAACUGCUUCUGGUAAAACUUUCUUCAAUGAAAAUUUUUUAUGGCCGUGAGGGCUAAGGUCCUCUUCUAGCUCAUUUGGUCCCCCCAGCAAUUCGAUGAGAUAGACACAAUAAUUAUCCCCAUUUUACAGAUGAGAAAACAGGCUUGAUGUUGCCUAUGGUCACCGAAUUUAUAAGUGGCAGAUGGGACUGGAAUUUGGUCCCCUCUCAACCUCUGUACUGGAAUGCCGUCCUGUCUACCUGAAAUGCGUGGACAAUAACAUGAAAUGAUUUAUUAACAAGGAGAUAUCCAAUUCUGUGGGUAAAAUAGCGGAUGUAAGCUACAAAUUAGCCUUUAUUGACAAAGACCUUCAUUACAUGCCGGCGUGUUAGGUUCUGUUCU